CCGCCCAUAGCGCAGCUGGAUAGAGUGUCAGAUUCCGAUUCUGAAGGCCGGGGGUUCGAAUCCCUCUGGGCGGGCCA
rnacentral:tRNA from 2 species